UGUUCUCUGACGUUUUUUGUCUUAUUUUAGCCAUCUGAAAUGAACAGUUGUGUUUAAAACAAGAUGAUUUUAAUAAACUGAAUCU